rnacentral:misc_RNA from 1 species
AAGAGAGCUUCGGCUCCUUUUAUGUUUUCAACCAUAUUGCUGUUUCCAUCCUUGUUGCUUCCACCCUUUGAAGGCGGGCUGGAAGCCUGCUCGAAGGGGGUGGAGGGUUUUGUUUUGAAAACAUGUUUGUUCGGUCAGCCGUAACUUGUCUGAAUAAGAGGGAAAAAUGCUUUA